rnacentral:rRNA from 1 species
UCCGAAGGGGGACAUCGUUGUUCGGAUUUACUGGGCGUAAAGCGCGUGUAGGCGGGUCGUUAAGUUGGGGGUGAACUCCCGGAGCUCAACUCCGGAACUGCCUACAAAACCGGCGACCUGGAGCAGAGGAGAGGCGAGUGGAAUUCCGAGUGUAGAGGUGAAAUUCGUAGAUAUUCGGAGGAACACCAGUGGCGAAGGCGACUCGCUGGACUCUUGCUGACGCUGAGACGCGAAAGCGUGGGGAGUAAACAGG